rnacentral:rRNA from 1 species
AAGGGAAUUGACGGGGGCCCGCACAAGCGGUGGAGCAUGUGGGUUUAAUUGGAAGCAACGCGCAGAACCUUACCAACCCUUGACAUCCCAGGACAUCCCCAGAGAUGGGGCUUCCACUUCGGGUGGCCUGGAGACAGGUGCUGCAUGGCUGUCGUCAGCUCGUGUCGUGAGAUGUUCGGUUAAGUCCGGCAACGAGCGCAACCCACGUCCCCAGUUGCCAGCAUUCAGUUGGGCACUCUGUGGAAACUGCCGAUGAUAAGUCGGAGGAAGGUGUGGAUGACGUCAAGUCCUCAUGGCCCUUACGGGUUGGGCUACACACGUGCUACAAUGGUGGUGACAGUGGGUUAAUCCCCAAAAGCCAUCUCAGUUCGGAUUGGGGUCUGCAACUCGACCCCAUGAAGUUGGAAUCGCUAGUAAUCGCGGAACAGCACGCCGCGGUGAAUACGUUCCC